UGUUCCUUACAGUUGAUUCCUACUGUACAGCAAAGUGACCCAGUCUCACACAUAUGUAUAUAUUCUUUCUCACACCAUCUCCCACCACGUUCCAUCACAAGUAAUGGGACACAGUUCCCCGUGCUACACAGCAGGAUCUCGCCGCCCAUCCACUCCAAAUGCACCAGUCUGCAUGCACCAACCCCAAACUCCCAAUCCAUCCCAUGCCCCCCCCACCCGUCCCCCAUCAGAUUUUUAAACUUUAAAAUUUGUUGUAAUUUCUUUUCUCAUUCUAAACAACUGUUCCUUUUUGUACGCUUAAUUCACUGUUUGUAUCUUGUGUUCUUUUUAUUGAAGGUGAUGCUAAAGAUUAUACUAGCUUUAGGCCCCACAAAGCAUGGAUCCACCCCUGUCUACCAGCAGAGCAGAUGGGGGAAAGCUACUAUGGAUGGGAAAAAUCGAGGGACAGAGAACAAGAGUCUUAUUUCAGACCACAUUCAUCACAAAGAUUUCCUAGAUGCUUCCAAAGUGUCAGCAAAUCUGAGAACCAAUGAGUGAAAUGAUGACGAUGCAACUCAAACACCAAGGACCUAUGGGGGCCACCAGAAAGGUAGAACGUCUUCCAAGCCAGAAACAGGAAACCAGCAGUUUGGCUGGAGCUUUCUUGGUGGUAUUAACAAAUCUAAAGAUAGAAUGUAUCAACCAAAGGGGGCUGUUUGCAUGCAGAGAGAAAGUGGGAGUCAGAGGGGAAGGACUCGCCAAGGAGAGAGGGCACCGGUGAGCUGACUAGGACAUCCAGUUCUAUCGGUGUGGCAGGUGCACCUCCAAAAGAGGAGGAUGAAAGCAUGAGCUCAAGAAAACUUGACAUCCUUUGACAUGAAAACCAUCCCUCUCAUAUCCUCUGCUCAGACUGCCUACUCAAGCUGCGUCCUCAUGACCAUUCGCCUUCCUGUUUAGUUUCCUAUGGGUUCGAGGUGACACAGGUGUUUGUUCUGCUUAGAAGUUCUUCUUUCUCAUUGCAAAUGAAUGAAUCGGGAUUUGGGUUUAUCUAGCCGUCUCUCGAGAGCUUGACUGGUGUGAAUCUGUCCCUGAGAACCUGAUCCACUCUCGUGCAUGGCUGGGUCCGCAAAUCAAUUUCACCAAAGUGGUGCCAUCCCAAAAUUUCUAGGGCUUAGUGCAAUGCCAUUGUCAUGGUAGAGCUCCACUAGGUUGGGAGGUUCUGGAGAUGCUGGGGUUGGGGUCAGUGUUUUAGUCUUCUGUGUGUCCCUGAUACCCAGUUCAGUGCUGGGACAUUGUAGACAAGGGCGAUAGUCUAAAUAUUUACACCUGUGUCAGUGGCACUGCCUGUUCCACACAGUGUGAGCCUUCGUGCUGGAACAGAGUCCUGGAGACCCCCAUGGGGCCAGGUGGGAAUCUUGUAGGGUACACGGUCUUACAGAAUUCCGGGGUACUUGGUCUUAGGGAAUUCAAGAGGUACAGGGGGCUUGGUAUGUCUGGGGCAGAGGGAGAUACUGGGAAGGCUCAGGGUAGUAACAUUUUACCAGUCAGGAUGGAAGUA
rnacentral:lncRNA from 1 species